ACAACACUGGAGCACUGGGAGGGAGAGCUCAACAGGCCUGGGCAAGCUCCUCUGGGGUUGAGAUGCUGUUGGGCUGAGCUGGGAACAACAGCUCAUUUCCCAAAGCCGAGCUGUAAUCACAUCAUGGGGUGGCACGGUGCCUUCCCAGCGUAUCUCAGAGCGGCUCUGCAUCUGCAGUGGCAAGCUGGUGUGAUCAAUACCGACAGCUCUGCACAGCGGCUGGGACGGGCAGCAGCAAUUAGGCUGCCUGCGGGAACCUGGGCAGCCAGGCAUUGUCUGCAAACAGGGCGAUCUGACAGCGCCGGCGGGGUCUGCGUCCAGAGCAGGGCUCCCGCGUACUGACCAGCAAGCAGCGUGCGGAAGCCUGCCAAGCUCUGUGGCCUCCUCUCUCCUGCAGAGAAAGGACAGGAAUUCAAAGAAGGCAAUUCUUUGAAUUGAAAAUGGGAUGAUCCUUUUGUAUGAAUAGUGUGUGAGUUUAUAUUUAAAAAUCUAAAUAUUGGGUUUUCUUAGAAGUAAGUCACAAAAGUACUUACAACUUUCAACAGAGAAAUAAAAUUCAGCCUCAAAUUUGCCUUCACAUGUCUCCUCUUGAAAAAUAAGAAGACAGUUGCUUUUUCCUCUUGUUCAUUUCAUGCUGGCAUGGCAAGUGGGCAAGGCCAUUCCUGAGGGGGUUGGAAUGCAGAGGACAGUGAGUCAAAUGGCUGGAGGACUUGAAUGGGGCAGCCAGGAGGGAUUUGCUGUCCUCAGUUGGACUUGUUACAUAACUGGGCAUAUCCACACGCUCAACAAGAACUCAUGGGUGAAAUUUCCUCUGACAGGGCUUAUUGAGAAAAGGAAAGUGAACGGCGGAGGCCUUAUGAGUAAGUAGGGCAGGUAUCUGGAAAAUCAAUGUCAGCUCAGCUAAGAAAAAUGCUUUUGCUUAAUUUGAAGACAAUCUGAGCUAUUGAAACAUGAAACAAAAGUCCCUCUGGUGGCCCCAAGUUAGUGCAGGGGUGCCAUGGGGUAUGUGUUAAGACUUUGCUUCUACAUUCCCUGGUGUGGAGUACUGGACUGGCAUUACUUAUAAAUCCACACUUCAGAGAACAACCCAGCCCCCAGCUGUGUUCCACCAGCCACCCUGUCCCAUGCAGCAGGUCCUGCAGCCCAUUAAUGUCCCUAUAAAAGGACUUGCCCUUUACAUUUUCAUUCCACAUAGUGUAACAUAGACAUUUAUGUCCUUUGUUAAAUUUAAUGGAAACCCAGAAAAAUUUUUCUUGGCUUUCAUUCAAUCAAUAAACGUAUACUGAGCACCUACUGUAUGUCAGGUAUCCUACUAGAACAUAGAGAAAUAAAUUACACAAGGUUUUGCCCUCCAGAAGCUCACAAUAUUAUGGGGAAAUAAAAAAAAAUAAACGAAACAAUGCCAAGAUAAUGGAGUGGUUGAGAGACAGAUAUUUGCAGAGUGUUAGACAGGAAAGGGACUUGACCAGGGGCUGCAGAGGGGGAAAUGGGUGAGAAGUCUUGGUCAAGGCUUCCCGAGAGAGUUAAGACCUUCAAGUCUAUUUCUUCCUGUCAUCUGCACAGGGGAGAGGACUGAGAAAGGUUAUGAAUUUAUGAAACCCCACCAUGCAUCAGAGCAGAAUAAAAAGAUUUCCCAUUUUCUAUCCUGAUUAAAUACUCCAUGCUGUUCUACCCACAGUCCUCAUGACUAUUUUAAUGAAUAUUGUUUCCCAUUUUGAACAUGAACUCAAUAAAAGUUAAUUAAAAUAAUGUAAAA